UAGGAAAUCUUGGUAAUCAUUGGGAGAAUCAUGAUAUUUUGGAAUCUGGUGUAUACAAUACUAAUCAGUGAUAUAUAUGUAUACUCUCUGAAUCUGAAUUUAACCACGAUUUUACAGGUGAAUUGUGUUUAUUUAGGUUUGCAUACCCAAAUGAGGCCAGCGUUUUUAAUGUUUUUACUGUUUUUAGUAGGCAUAGAAUAUUAUAGUUACUAACGCUUUAUUUCGUUUCUCUAUAAUCGUUUAACACCUAAUAAAUAGUGGUAAAAAAAUUCAUUGAAAAGUUCGAUUC